rnacentral:rRNA from 1 species
UUAAAAGAGCUAUAUGUAUAUAUUUUUUAUUGUUGAAUAAAUAUUAUAAAUAUUUAUAUAGAAAUGAAAUGUUAUUCGAUUUUAAAUAUAUCUAGUUUUUUAAGAAAAAAAUUUAAUUUUAUUUUUAUUUAAUCAUAUAAUUAUUUAUUUAAUGAAUAUGAUAAUAAAAUUUUAUAUUUUUAGGGAUAAGCUUAAUAAUAUAGUAAUAAAAUUUAUAUAAUAUGUAAAUUAUUUAAAUAGGAUUUAUAGUUUUCAAUUUUUAUAGUGUUUUUUAACUAAUAUAAUAAAUAAUUAAGAUUUAUAUGAAAUUUAUGUGUUUUAUUAAAAUAUAAAUUUGAAUUUAAAUAAUUUAGUAAUAAUGAUUAAAUUAGUAUAUAAAUAUUAUUUUAAAUAGUAAAUAAAUUAGUAAGGUUAAGUAAAGGAAUUCGGCAAAUAUAUUUUUCACCUGUUUAUUAAAAACAUGUCCUUUUGAGUUUGAUUUAAGGUCGGGCCUGCCCAAUGAUGUAAAAAAUUUAAUGGCCGCGGUAUUUUGACCGUGCAAAGGUAGCAUAAUAAUUAGUUUUUUAAUUGAAAACUAGAAUGAAGGGUUUAAUGAAAAAAUUACUGUCUCUAUUUAAAUUAUAUAGAAUUUUAUUUUUAAGUAAAAAAGCUUAAAUUUUUAUAAAAGACGAGAAGACCCUAUAGAGUUUUAUAAAUUAUUUAUUUAAUAAAUUAAGGAUUUAG